rnacentral:piRNA from 1 species
UGAAACAAAAAUCAAAUGAACAGCAGGAC